GCGGGUGUCGUAUAAUGGUUAUUACAUAUGCUUGCCAAGCAUAUAAUGAGGGUUCGAUUCCCUUCACUCGCUCCA
rnacentral:tRNA from 14 species